rnacentral:rRNA from 1 species
GACGAACGCUGGCGGCGUGCUUAACACAUGCAAGUCGAACGGAAAGGCCCCAGCUUGCUGGAGUACUCGAGUGGCGAACGGGUGAGUAACACGUGGGUGAUCUGCCCUGCACUUCGGGAUAAGCCUGGGAAACUGGGUCUAAUACCGGAUAGGACCGCACUUUGGUGUGUGUGGUGGAAAGGUUUUUCUGGUGUGGGAUGAGCUCGCGGCCUAUCAGUUUGUUGGUGGGGUAAUGGCCUACCAAGACGGCGACGGGUAGCCGGCCUGAGAGGGUGGACGGUCACAAUGGGACUGAGAUACGGGCCAGACUCCUACGGGGGGCAGCAGUGGGGAAUAUUGCACAAUGGGGGAAACCCCGAUGCAGCGACGCCGCGUGGGGGAUGAAGGGCUUCGGGUUGGAAACUCCUUUCGCUAGGGACGAAGCUUUUUGUGACGGUACCUGGAGAAGAAGCACCGGCUAACUACGUG